GUGGGGAAUAUUGGACAAUGGGCGAAAGCCUGAUCCAGCCAUGCCGCGUGUGUGAAGAAGGUCUUCGGAUUGUAAAGCACUUUAAGUUGGGAGGAAGGGCAGUAAGUUAAUACCUUGCUGUUUUGACGUUACCAACAGAAUAAGCACCGGCUAACUUCGUGCCAGCAGCCGCGGUAAUACGAAGGGUGCAAGCGUUAAUCGGAAUUACUGGGCGUAAAGCGCGCGUAGGUGGUUCAGCAAGUUGGAGGUGAAAUCCCCGGGCUCAACCUGGGAACUGCCUCCAAAACUACUGAGCUAGAGUACGGUAGAGGGUAGUGGAAUUUCGUGUGUAGCGGUGAAAUGCGUAGAUAUAGGAAGGAACACCAGUGGCGAAGGCGACUACCUGGACUGAUACUGACACUGAGGUGCGAAAGCGUGGGGAGCAAACAGGAUUAGAAACCCGUGUAGUCC
rnacentral:rRNA from 1 species